GACGAACGCUGGCGGCGUGCCUAAUACAUGCAAGUAGAACGCUGAAGGGAGGAACUUUCUCUUCUUGGAUGAGUGUCGAAGGGGGGAGUAACGCGUAUGGAACCUUGCCUGUAGGGGGGGAUAACUAACUGAAACGGUAACUAAUACCGCAUAAAAUUGAAUAUCGCAUGAUAAUCGAUCUAAAGGUGCAAAUGCAUCACUACCAGAUGGACCCGCGUUGUAUGAGCUAGUUGGUGGGGUAACGGCUCACCAAGGCGACGAUACAUAGCCGACAUGGGAGGGAGAUCGGCCACACUGGGAAUGAGACCAGGCCCAGGAUCCUACGGGAAGCAGCAGUAGGGAAUCUUCGGACAUGGGGGGAAGUCUGACCGAGCAAAGCCGGGUGAGUGAAGAAGGGUUUCGGAUCGUAAAGGUCUGUUGUACGAGAAGAAAGAGUGUAAGGGUGGAAAGUUUACACUGUGACGUUAUCUUAACAGAAAGGGACGGCUAACUACGUG
rnacentral:rRNA from 1 species